rnacentral:rRNA from 1 species
UACGUAGGAGGCAAGCGUUGUCCGGAAUUACUGGGCGUAAAGCGCGUGUAGGUGGUGGGACAAGUCUGCUGUGAAAGCGCCUGGCUUAACCGGGCGAGGUCGGCGGAAACUGUCUGACUCGAGGACGGUAGAGGGGGGUGGAAUUCCCGGUGUAGUGGUGAAAUGCGUAGAGAUCGGGAGGAACACCUGUGGCGAAGGCGGCCCCCUGGGCCGGCCCUGACACUGAGACGCGAAGGCGUGGGGAGCGAACGGG